ensembl:snRNA U6 U6 spliceosomal RNA
GUAACUCAAGGACUGGUUGCUUACUAGAAUUGAAACAGUAUGGCGAAGAUUAACAUAGCCCUGUGUAAGAAUGAUGCACAAAUUCAUGAAACAUUCCAUAUAUUU